rnacentral:rRNA from 1 species
UGGGGAAUAUUGGGCAAUGGGCGCAAGCCUGACCCAGCAACGCCGCGUGAAGGAAGAAGGCUUUCGGGUUGUAAACUUCUUUUGAGGGGACGAAACAAAUGACGGUACCCCUGAUAAGCACGCUAACUACGUGCCAGCAGCCGCGGUAAUACGUAGGUGGCAAGCGUUAUCCGGAUUUAUUGGGUGUAAAGGGCGUGUAGGCGGGAGUGCAAGUCAGAUGUGAAAACUAUGGGCUCAACCCAUAGCCUGCAUUUGAAACUGUACUUCUUGAGUGCUGGAGAGGCAAUCGGAAUUCCGUGUGUAGCGGUGAAAUGCGUAGAUAUACGGAGGAACACCAGUGGCGAAGGCGGAUUGCUGGACAGUAACUGACGCUGAGGCGCGAAAGCGUGGGGAGCAAACAGGAUUAGAUACCC